rnacentral:rRNA from 1 species
UAGGGAAUCUUCCGCAAUGGACGAAAGUCUGACGGAGCAACGCCGCGUGAGCGAAGAAGGCCUUCGGGUCGUAAAGCUCUGUUGUUAGGGAAGAACAAGUACGAGAGUAACUGCUCGUACCUUGACGGUACCUAACCAGAAAGCCACGGCUAACUACGUGCCAGCAGCCGCGGUAAUACGUAGGUGGCAAGCGUUGUCCGGAAUUAUUGGGCGUAAAGCGCGCGCAGGCGGUCCUUUAAGUCUGAUGUGAAAGCCCACGGCUCAACCGUGGAGGGUCAUUGGAAACUGGGGGACUUGAGUGCAGAAGAGGAGAGUGGAAUUCCACGUGUAGCGGUGAAAUGCGUAGAGAUGUGGAGGAACACCAGUGGCGAAGGCGACUCUCUGGUCUGUAACUGACGCUGAGGCGCGAAAACGUGGGGAGCAAACAGGAUUAGAUACCCUGGUAGUCCACGCCGUAAACGAUGAGUGCUAAGUGUUAGAGGGUUUCCGCCUUUAGUGCUGC